rnacentral:lncRNA from 1 species
GAAAAUGACAUAUAGCCAGGGCGAGUAACAAUAUCAGAAACGCGUUUGCGCCUUCCUCAGCGCAAGCUCUUCACCUAACACUUUCAAAAACAGGUUUCCUUGGCAGUUUCGCGAGCGAGGGGGGAGGCGGUAAGUGCUCGGAUAGAACAGCGGCACGGGAUAGUCUUGUAUGACCACAGAUCGCGUAGCUAGGUUUUAAAUAUUGCGAUGGACUAUCCAUUAAGAGGUAAUACAGAACUACUAUGGCUGUACCCAAUCCGGUCACUUACAAAAAUACAAAAUUUAGUGAAGAACCCAGCCCGCAUAGCUCCGACCCUCAGGACCUCGGGCGUGCCAACAGCGUAAAGGCGGCGAACACGCUCUGGGUUUCCCUUGGCAUUUUCUGAGAAUCCGGGCUCCCGGCGAUGGGUCUGCGGCGGAGCCGCAACGCGCACCCCGCAUGCGGAGACAACCGCCGCCAGCCCUGGACAACUUCCAACUGCCCAGCCCCGUGAUCACGUCUGUCCGUGAAUUCAAGCGAGGGAAGGUGGCUGGAAGAACGCGCGAAACGCGCAAAUACAUUACCAUUACCGCUGUCCAUGCUUGAUGCGGUGAAUGCCGAUGAUAUUUCGGGAGCAGAACUCCUGUCACAGUCCCUGCGGACACGGACACGGACAGACCACCGUCUCCCUCCCACGUAUUGACUCUGCAAGGUGGAGGUCGCUGGAAAACAGUCCUGUUCCACAUGAUUAAGAUUGAACUCGUGCAAUCAGCCGUUGCCGGGACCCCCAAACAGCGUUGCACGUUCCCCACUGUACGACCACUCACAACAAUGCGCACCCAAGCUAACGGCGCGGUGCAAAACAGGCGCGAUUCAACCUCAGUGGCUAAAAUCGCUCCUGGUCGCUUGGGGGUGCACAUCUCACAGCAGGCUCAGGGCCAGGCUUUCAGAAUCCUCCAAUCCAGAGCAGGGGGCUCAGGUUAGGUCCGAGUAGCGUCGGGCACGGAACGUGUCAUCCAUUCCGUCGGUUGCUAAAAACGACAUCAUGAUUUCGCUAGCUGAUUUAGAGGAUAAUUUGUUGUUACGUUUUUACCUUCGGGACUCAGGAGGCGAGAACGAUCACGUGUCGGCAGGUCUUGUCAGUUGUCAAAACUUGGCUUAGGCAAGCGUUGGGGCACAUCACCACGCGGCUCUGUGCAUGUAUUCCCAGGCGCCCACUGUCUAGGUGUUAACGGUUUAUAGAUACAGAAGACGUGACUGUGGGCUGCAGAGCCAUGCCAGCAAUACAGGAUUGCUCGCCUCCCUUGGUCGGUUGGUCUCCCUUCUGUCCCAAUAUGUCCUAAUGUGGCCCGUCACAAGAAUAUUCCCAGCGGCAUUCAUGGUCGUGAUGCGAAUGUUAUAAAAUUUUUAUUUUUCUGUACAUCGAUAUUAAUUAUGCCAUUGAUGAAUCCUUACUCUCUGUGCAGUAUGAUCCGUUGAAAGAUUUCAUAGGACAUUUUUAGAAAGUUCCACGGUAAUUGAUGGCUAUUCCAUUAUUCGAUAGUUAAUGUCUCGAUCACACUUAGCCAACUGAUCCGCCUCAAUCGCAUUGCGGCUGCCCAUUUCCGACAAG